CAGACUAUCUUCUUUAUCCCGCAUAAAAGAUGACAACUGCAGCCAGGCCAACCUUUGAACCUGCAAGGGGUGGAAGAGGGAAAGGAGAAGGUGAUUUGAGCCAGCUUUCAAAGCAGUAUUCAAGCAGAGACCUACCUUCUCAUACAAAGAUAAAAUACAGAAAAACUACUCAGGAUGCCCCUGAAGACGUUCGUAACCGUGACUUCAGGAGAGAGUUGGAAGAGGGAGAGCGGCUGCAAGAGAGAAAAAUAGAGAUCGUCCAACCCGAGAACAUACAACCUCCUCUUCGGUGUCAAAAAAGACACAGUUAGACCAGAUUCCUGCUGCCAACCUUGAUGCAGAUGACCCUCUAACAGAUGAGGAAGAUGAAGAUUUUGAAGAGGAAAGUGAUGAUGAUGAUACUGCAGCUCUUCUUGCAGAACUGGAAAAAAUUAAAAAAGAAAGAGCUGAAGAGCAGGCCAGGAAGGAACAAGAACAAAAAGCUGAAGAAGAGAGGAUUCUUGUGGAAAACAUUCUGAGCGGAGACCCUCUCCUUUAUCUCACUGGCCCAUCCCAGCCUCAGGCCAACUUCAAAGUUAAAAGAAGGUGGGAUGAUGAUGUUGUCUUCAAGAACUGUGCAAAAGGUGUAGAUGACCAGAAGAAAGACAAAAGAUUUGUAAAUGACACACUGCGAUCUGAAUUUCACAAAAAGUUUAUGGAGAAAUAUAUUAAGUAGUACAGUUUUGUGUGCUUAAUUAAAGACUGUAAAACGCAAAGGAUCAUUCUGACAUUUUUGGAUGCAUUUUUUUCUUUUCCCCUGUCUAAAUUGUGUGUAGGCUUUCCUAAUUUUAAACUCUUAUGUUUUUCUUUAGUGAUACCUUACUUGAGAAUAGACUUGGGAAUAGGUUUAACCCAGUUUGCAUUUUCUCAAUGUUUCCAGUACUACUUUUCCUUGGGAAAAGCAAAUCUGCCUGUAAUAAAUAUUUUUAAUCUAAAU